AGUGAACGCUGGCGGUAGGCCUAACACAUGCAAGUCGAACGGCAGCACAGUAAGAGCUUGCUCUUACGGGUGGCGAGUGGCGGACGGGUGAGGAAUACAUCGGAAUCUACUUUUUCGUGGGGGAUAACGUAGGGAAACUUACGCUAAUACCGCAUACGACCUACGGGUGAAAGCAGGGGAUCUUCGGACCUUGCGCGGUUGAAUGAGCCGAUGUCGGAUUAGCUAGUUGGCGGGGUAAAGGCCCACCAAGGCGCCGAUCCGUAGCUGGUCUGAGAGGAUGAUCAGCCACACUGGAACUGAGACACGGUCCAGACUCCUACGGGAGGCAGCAGUGGGGAAUAUUGGACAAUGGGCGCAAGCCUGAUCCAGCCAUACCGCGUGGGUGAAGAAGGCCUUCGGGUUGUAAAGCCCUUUUGUUGGGAAAGAAAAGCAGCAGGUUAAUACCCCGCUGUUCUGACGGUACCCAAAGAAUAAGCACCGGCUAACUUCGUG
rnacentral:rRNA from 1 species